UUUCUUUGACAUUCAACUCUCACUUAGCCCCCUCCACUGCCAAGAAAUUCUCUGUGCACACGGCUCUCUGCAUUGCCAUAGAAACCUUCCUUUUAAUCACAACAGAAACCUCAUUUCCUGCUCCUGACAAAGACUCCUCAUUGCCUGUAGAGACCGCCCUGCAUCAACCAUUUCCAAAGCCCACCUCCUUCUUCAGAUCUCAACCUACCAGCAGCAGCAGCCCUCCCUUUUUUCUUUUUUUACCCCUCCUCUCUUUAUAAGCACAUUUUCCACCUUUUCUUGUCCUUUAGCUCAACUGCCAUUUUAUACGUCUUUACAUUUUUCUUCAUCUCUCCUUUUUUUUUUAACUUCCUUUUUUUUCCUUUCUUUUUUUCUGCACUCUUUGGUUGAGGCUAUUUCAUUCAAUUCAACUCAACUUCAGUUGGAUUCAAAGAUCUGUUCCUAGAAACACCUACAACACCCACAGUCAUGCAAACGAGAACAUGCAGCCCCCCUCUUUCCUGUCCCCCUGUGUGCAAGUCCCUCAUCUCAGCUUUGGUUGCCGUGCAGAUGGCUCUUUGUUGGUGCUUCACAAUGGGUCUAAGGCACCGCAAGGUUGAGCAACAGAGCCAUGAGGUCUCGAGGCCAGUGUGAAGCAGUAAAGAGCAGGUAGAGUGAAAGGCGGGAAACUAGAAGGAGGAGGAGCAUUGCUUGCAAAGCAGCAGGAAUUACUGGAAAUUUCCACUUUUCUCUGGCGACUGUUACAUGGGUGGAGCUACAGAGGUGAAAUAAAUAAGGUAGAAGUGUAUGAGUUAAACUCAAGUGGUGAGGCUGGAGGAAAGCAUGUCCUCCACCUUCCACUGUUAGAUGUUAUGUUUAGGAAGCUCAAUAUGCAUUUUUGUAGAUCUUCAUAGUAUACCAGUGCUCUCAGUUGUUUUAACUUUACCUGCAGCACAGUUUCCUGUUUUAUGUGUACGAUCUCAUAACAGAUGUAAACAGAUGUUUGCAUUCUUUCUUAUAAUGCUUGUUCUGUCAUGCAUCCUUUUUGUUUAGUACUGCACUGAGAGAAAAUGUGCCAGCAUGUCCUGCUGCUUCUUCAUUGGAAUAAUAAUUUCUCAAAAAUGGCUCCUAUGUUCAGUUUCUGAUAAUUAUUUGGAAAAGAAAGCAACAGGAAACUGUGGACGAUUACACAGCAAACAGAGAUAUGUUUUCAGACAGAUGACUUACAUGAAGAGUUCCUGAUAAACAGAGCACAGUGUCCUUGCCUCUGCACCAUUAUUACAGUACAUCUGCACAUCAUAUCAGUCGUACAUUUGUUCACUCAUUGAUUUUUUUGAGUGCUUUUAGGCGUCAGAUGCACACCAUAACCAUUAGCGUACCCCAGGUGAUCUUCUUUUGCCCAUCAGCUUUCUUAAGCAUGUUCACCUGCCAUGCUAGCUG